rnacentral:rRNA from 1 species
UUCUGACCGUAAACGAUGCCAACUAGCGAUCCGCCGGCGGAUACAUUCGCCCUGGUGGGGAGCUUCCCGGAAACGAAAGUCUUCCGGUUCCGGGGGAAGUAUGGUUGCAAAGCUGAAACUUAAAGGAAUUGACGGAAGGGCACCACCAGGAGUGGAGCCUGCGGCUUAAUUUGACUCAACACGGGGAAACUCACCCGGCCCGGACACCGUAAGGAUUGACAGAUUGAUAGCUUUUUCAUGAUUCGGUGGAUGGUGGUGCAUGGCCGUUCUUAGUUCGUGGAGCGAUUUGUCUGGUUUAUUCCGAUAACGAGCGAGACUCUGGCCUACUAAAUAGUUGGCGCAUUGCUACUGUGCGCACUACACUUCUUAGAGGGAUUUUCGGUGUUCAGCCGCACGAAAUUGAGCAAUAACAGGUCUGUGAUGCCCUUAGAUGUCCGGGGCUGCACGCGCGCUACACUGGCAAAAUCAGCGUGCUUGUCCUUCCCCGAAAGGGGUUGGUAAACCCGUGAAAAUUUGCCGUGAUUGGGAUCGGACAUUGCAAUUAUUGUCCGUGAACGAGGAAUUCCUUGUAGGGGCGAGUCAUCAACUCGCUCUG